UAUCAUAGUGUGCCACAAUCAUUCUUUAAUCAAGAAAGUGUUUUUUGGAGCCGUUCUUGUACCUUUCCUGAUUUUUACAAAUUCUGAUACCAAUUUGUUAUGAUUAUACGUGUAGGGCUCAGAUCAAAGUAGGUGGCUUGCAUGCGUGUUGUUAUCUGCUUCUUCCCUUCGUGCAACAAAAUGAUUCAUUUUGAAGAAGAAAAAAUCAGAUUGCUUCUUCAUUUAUUCUUCUCUUCAGAUAUUGCUCACGAUGUAUGUUGGAAUCAUAAUGAAGAUUAUCAAAGAAAGAAAGGGAGAAGGUAGAGAGAAAUGAACAUAGAGAGAUUUAAAGUGGUUCAGCUAUUACAAUGCCUACAUCCACUAUGUUUGAGAGAAGAUUUUCUUGAAGAAUUUCAGAGGAACUUUCUUUGCAACAUGAAUCAGAUAAUUAUUCUACUACUUUCUUUUGCAUUCCAAACAGUUCUAUUUAAUGAUUUUACUCAUGAAUGACUUUUUAUAGAACAAAACUACCUUAAUUAAGUUUCAAUUUCACACGCAAUUAACACUUGUGUUAAUUGCUAUACUGAGGUCGCACUGAUCUCACCUUCAAGGCAGCGGAUUCAUCCACGCCACAAUAAUCGUCAUUUUGGUUAUAACACUCCAAACUUAUUAAUUCGAUUGAAAUUUUUUUAUGAGUAAUUAAUAUGUGACUAUUAUUGACAGUCUUCGGGGAAAAAAAAAACACUCAUAUCUGAUAUAUAAUUGCAGUAGAACGAUGUUAAGAAAGAAUCCAAGAAAUUGAAUUGGAUCGGAACAAAUUACAUAUAUGAUAUACGAUAUAUAUCCAAUCCAACAGGGAAGCUUAAUGAAUGUCAAGUAGAAAUUGAAAAUAUACUUAGAGAACAGAAAAUGAAAGAGAAAAAACAAUAAUUUAUAACUAAGUAGUGAAAAUCAUUAAUAUAAUUAGAAUGAAAAGAAAAAAACACAGAAUCUAGAAAGGAGGAGGCGGUGUCUGUUUAGAGAGAAACUUUCGUGGCCAAGGGAGCUUGGUGGGCUUCGAGCGAAGGGAUCUGUUAGCGGUGGCGGCAGCGGCCAUAGACGACGGCGGCAAAGUUAGAGAGAGAAGCAACAUUAGAAAAGAAA